rnacentral:lncRNA from 1 species
UCUUCUGUACGUUUUCCUUUAUUACGGUGCAAAAGGAAUAAAGAGUCAGUAGAAAUCGUACUUCGAACACUGAAUCUCUUCCAACAAGUGCUGAUCCACUCCCAAUGCUGUCAAGCAGUGCAGAGCAGCAUCACUGAGCCUAUCUGUCAGUCAACGCAGCAACCCGGGUACGCAGUCAUCUCCUCACUGUGGGCAGUUUGGCAAAUCUAGCAUGUUCUGCACAAAUACUUGAAUUAAGGCAUUUCUGAUUCACAAUGUUUUCGACUCACAAUGCUCAUCUGGAUGCCAUACUAUCGGAAAGCAAGAAGCACACACAAAAGCGUUCACACAGACUUCUCCCAAGAUUCCCCCACAAUUCUGACAGAACACAACUUCCCAAGUGAGCUCGGCCAACAUUCUAAUGCUAUGUGGGGUGAAUACAAACCCCGAGAGCUUAGCAACAGCACACUAGUCAUGCAAACCUAUGCAAGGGAAGACUUCUUCUCCUAAUAAUUUUGAUUUGCAGGGGAAAUCAGUCAACAUUUAGUGAGGUUCUUUUUUCAAGGCUUGAUUUAGACAUUACUUUUUAUUCAAUGCCAGUCCCAUCACUGUCUACUGGAUAACUUUGGAUAAUAGUUUCAUAUCCAUAUCUUCAUAUCCAAAUCUUCACCUACACCCUGGGUGGGGGAGGGGCGGGGGGGGAGUGACCAUGAUAACUGUGGCCGAGACUUCAAGUGACCUUUUGCCCUGCAGACUUCAUGAGCUGUGUCUUAAACAGGGACGUGUCAGAAGGAGGUCCUAUAAGGUCAAUAUGUGUUCUGUGAACAUUCAUCAAACUCUAGGAUAUCUGCAACACAGUUGUUCAAAAGCCUGCUCAUGUUUCUUUUCUCGCUCUCUCUCCUUCCUUCCAAAACCAGCAGCUCUUUUCUGAGCUCAAGGUAGAACUCCUGGGCCCACUCCUCAAUGAGCUCCUUCACAUGUCUGACGCUGCCAGGGUAAGACCCAUCCCGGGCAUCUUGUAGACAAAGGGUAGUGAUGUCACCAUCCACCCUUUCCUGACACAGGACAUGGUAUUUGCUCAGCGUUGGUUCAUAAAACUGACACUUGUGUUUCAAGUAAAGAAAAACAUCUGUAUCAAGCACAAGUGUCUCCGGGCUGCCGGCAGGCUCAGGUACAGAGGUCCCCAGAGUCGUGCAGAGUUCUCGUUUUUCUGCAGGGACCCGUCUAGGGUUCUGUCCAGUCCAGUUUCUCCUCUCACCAGCGUAUUUCCUGUUGUUUUCUAAAGCGGAAAUAGCUUUUGAUAUCAAAGCCUGUUUGAGCUUCAGGAUGGCCAGAAAUGAACCUUGCACAGAGAUUUUCCCACUGCGUCCCAAUGGGCUAAAUUUAAAGUUGGGAUUUUCUUUUUCAGGUCUACUACUAGGCUUUCUAGCACAAUCUGAGGCCGAAAAACAGACAAAUCAAGAAUGGCCAUCACAUAGACCUCACCUUUUCACUGAAGUGAGAGGACUGUGAGCAGAGGCUCUGAGCCUAGAGGGUGUUUCUUUUGUCUGAUGAUGGUCUGUGCAACUAAUGGAAACAUUAGCAUCAACAAAAACUAAGGCGGUGGUGGUGAUGGCCCAGAAGAUGCAGGGUCUCGGAAUCGCUGUCCUUUCAACCAGUAGCUGAGUCAAGAUGAGAUGGCACGCAGGUCCUACCUAAGGAAAUUGGAGGAGAUGCUCAGGCAGCGGGAAGGCCUAAAAGCUGGCAGCGAGCAGGUUCCACUUUCGUUUUCUAGUUCCUGUCGCCCUGGAGACACAGCUUGAAAGGGCGGCGCCGGCUAGGUUAGUCUCUCCGCGCCUUUGCGUUUCCUGCGCAAGACGUCCCGGAGGCAUCUGGGCUUCUCUCGGUCUCAACAGCGCUUUCUCAAGCCGGACGUC